UGCUCUCCUUCCUCCCGCAGCGGGAGCUCCCGGCAGCGGGGCCGGGGCGCGGCGGCCGCGGGGCGCUGCAGGUGAGCGGGGCGGAAAGAACCCCGCACCAGUUUCCACACUGCAGAAUCCUGGUAAAAUGCAGUAAAGGAUUUAAGGUUAUCGUCUGUCUCUCUCUAACUUCUGACAUCUCUUUAUAACAAGAAAGAGUCACAGCCAACUGUAACAGGAGGGCAACACAAUGAAUCCUGUAUCCACAACUUUCACAUGGAGAGGUGCACAUCCGGUGGCCAGAUGUAGCUGCAGUCAGCUGUGGCCACUCCAAGCUGGAAAUGAGUGUCUGAGCAUCCUGCUCACUAAUCCUUCCACUGCAGUGCCUGUGUUCUGGCUGGUCUCUUGGCUUCUCAGCCAGAAGAAUAUCCUGAAGCAAAUUACUGUCAGAAGCCAAAAUAUGUAUCCAUAAUUCAUCCUAAAGCACUGUCAACUUAAUUUUAAAGUAAUUUUUCUGCUUUACGAGUUCAGACUGAAGUGGUGUUUUAUGAGAACAUGGAGCUGCAUGUCACAGUACCUUUUUUCCAUGGGUUAAGGGAGACUAUUCUAACAUUCCCAGCUUCUGCUGCCCAGGCAUUCUCUCUUUGUAAUUAGCAUGAAGACUACCCUUCAGUCAAAGCUAGCCACCUGGAAAGUUUCAGCUUGUAAUAUGCAGCUUUUUUUGUGAAUUAUGAAUGUGCAAAAAAGAGACCUUUCUCCUUACACCCACUUCCUUGCAUAAUUCAAAUAUGAAUGAAUGAAUUUUAUUCAGGCUUGCAAAAAAAAAAAAAAAAAAAAAAAAAAAAAAAAAAAAAAAAAAAUCAUAUUUCAGCUGAUAACAAGCAUGAAAAAUUUCAGAUGAAAGGGAUUUUUAUUAUUUUUUUAAAGAAUAUUCUGAGCAUGGAAGAACAGCAGGUUAAGACAAAAGUCUCAGUGCAGCCUUUACUAUAAUAAUUGCUAUCAAGCAAAUAUUGUAUCCAAGCACUAAAUCUUGCUUUGUACUGCCCUGGUGCACAGUAGCAGGGACAGAGUAGAAUAAUAAAAGCUGGUCCCCUUAUGCAAACAGCAGGGCACAGCACUUGACAGACAAGAAGAAGGUGAGCUUGCCUACUGUUCUGACUUGCUAAGUGUUCUAACUUGCUGACUUCCCAAGGCCUGUGGGUUAGUUGUCACCUCUAGCUCUAGUCAGACAGCAAAAGGUACUUCACACACUAGCAAAGUGAAUGUUUUGGUCCUUUCCAGAAGAACAUUUUACCAAUUCCUUGCCUCCAAAUGUACUGUUUUAUUAAAUAAAGUAUUUGAAGGAAUUUGUGUAAACAACAUCAUGGUUCAAGGGGUCAAAAAGGGAAAGGAAUCAGUAUUAGGCAUUUUUCUGAUUAACCGUGUAUUUUAAAAAUAUCUGUGAAGAAGUUAUUAUCUGCACAAAGCAGAAUGAGAUUUGAGCUCAUGCCAGUACCACUUUGAAAAUAAACUAUCACAGUGAAGAAACGUUACCAUCUGGAACAGUUCUGCAUCGCAUUUUCUCAUGUUCCUAAUAAUGCUUUGGUGAUAAGUCCAGCUCUCCUUUUCUACUCAGAAAACAGAAUUAAAACUACCAUUCAUUUACUAUGUGCUUUUUUUUUAAAAUGCCCAUUACAGUAGUGAAUGCUAAAGUAUUACCUUGCAGAUGCACAGAUCCACAUUGAUUAGAAGACAGGACUUGCAAAUGGCAAGCCUAGACAUAAAAAAUCCCCUUCCAGUCUGACGUGAGUUGACUGUUGCAAGUUGAGCUUGGCAGCGAGUGACCAAAAUUGAGUUGUCAGCAUCCUCCUGAAUAGUGGAAGAA